CGUCUUGCCACAUGCUGAUUUCUGCAGUGCUGCGUAUGGUGCACUUUGUAGCAAAGCAAUGCAAUGGCUUCUGUACUGCUAGUGAAGAUAGCUGUGGUGAAUCAAGCUGAUUGGAUUUUAAGUUGAUAAAUCUCAGGCACAAACAUCAGUGCAGACCAAGAGAGGCUUCUCCUUCACUUGCCCCUCUGUAGCGUUGGCAUGAAGAUGAUGCCUGACGUGACGUCUAAAUGCAAUGAGAGGGCAGUGGAGCAAGCUCCUGAGGAGCCCGCAUUUGUCCAGCCUUGUGGACUGUGCACAGAUGGCUGUGGCAAUCAUCCCUCGAGCACAGCCAGUUAGUUGACUGAAGUCAUUCUACAGCCAAAAUCCAGUCGGGAGACUAUUAGCUUCUGGCCUACAAAAUAUUUGCAUUGAGACUUCAAUUGCUGUUUAAUUUUCCUGCAGCUGGCAGCUCCUAUUGUUGAUGAAGGCUCUGUGAAAUCAUUAAGGAAAAGAUGAUGAAUGUGUUUAUAUUUACUAAAACAGAUCAAUAGAGAGGGUGUGUAGAGUCAUAAACACUCUUACCUGAAUUCUGUGCCUUUGGUUCAUCUUGAAUUCCAAAGUGAUUGAGCAAAGUUGGGCAAGCCUCCUUGCAUCCUGUGUAAAUCUUGACCCCCUCAGAACCACAGGCAGAAUACAGGAAUCCUAAAGGCCAAAAUUAUUUUGCUAAUACUUGAAUUGCCCAUUGGGAAAGCGUAUCAGAUUCUCCUUCUGAAAUGGACUUUAAAACAGGAUAGCUGCUUUUAAUGUGUCUCAGAUAAUAAGAAUCUGAGCUAAAGAUCCAAAAUUUGAAGGAAUUCAGUCCGUGCAGAAACAGGUGCCAUCAGCAUUGAUUUCCUAAGCUGCUGUUCAGUGAGUGGUUCUUUGCAGCCAUCCUACCUGAACAGGUAGUAUGAAUCUAGCUUCUUCCAUUUCUUUGUCUCUUCCACAGAUGUGGUAUAAAAUAAAAUAUCAUAGGCAAUAGAAUCACUCUUGAGAGGCCCUUAUUGCAAUGGAAGACAACAGAGUUUGCUAUGAUAAAUACAACCAUCUUGAUAAGUGACUUAUAGUACGGUGAACUUGUCCAGCUUGUACGUUUAUGGUGCUUGAGGCAAAUCUUACUGCUCUUCUUUAACCUGUGGCUGGGUUUCUUGAACAGAGCUGGGUUUAGACAUCCUGAUCUAUAUAGUAUGCAACUCCCUCAGUACAGCAUAAGGUAUUCUUUUUUAAAUAAAGCCUAUCUGUCUUACUUCCCCAUAGAGAGCAGCUGCAUGGUUCAUCAAAUCGUUCCACCUUUUCCGAAGCAUGAGUUGGAUCUCAGGAUGUGUUUGAAUAUGAGCCAUGAAGUCAAGAAUUUAGAAAAAACAUGAAAUUUUAUUAAGGUGCAGGCAGAUGGCCAGCCCUGGCCUAAGGUUAAACUGAGGGGGUAACAGCCUGAGCAACUGCCACACAGAGCAGACAACACGCAAAAGUAGCUGGCCAACCCUGACCUGGGGCUAACCUAACAAAGGGAGAGGUAACCAGACAAAAGGGGUGAGAGGGGAGCGUCAGACCUCCCUUGGAUGGAGAGUGCCUGAGGGUAGGUAGUGAGGGCGGGUACUGGCUUACUGGGAUUGCUGACCAAGGCUACAAUUACUGAAUAAGACUGUAAAAUCAGCAAAAUUUGGGCCUAUGGGGAAAGAGAAAAACUGGGGUGGGUUGUUUAAAUAGGAGGGGGAAAAUGAGGGUAAAAGGAAAUGUAAGGCAAAGCAAACCACGUCAUCGAGGAUGCGCCUCAUCAACGCAGCCAGGAGCAGGACAAUAAAACUGUUCUGACGAUACCAGUGGGUCUGCCUUGCUUCUGCGGUCAGGGAGAUGGGGGUGCUCUCCUGAAUGCCAGUGGUUCCACACCUUGGUUAGGGUGGAAGACAGACUGACCCAUCUCCCUAACAAUAUUUGCAGUAAGUGUGGCUCAAAUUAUCAUCUCAGCUCAUCUGAAUCUCAGAGAGAACCUUCUGAGGAAUCUCGUAUGUAUCCAUAUCAGCCUGCAGAGUCUCUAGCAAGAAAUGACUUGAAGAACAUCAAGAAGUGCACUCUCCUCCCACCUCUCAGGGUAAACUGCCUAUAGGCCUUUUUUCCAAGAGCUACUACUGGAAGUACCUUUUUUAAUUGAGGCAGUAAAUCUCGCCACAGCCCCAACCAAUCUCGGGAGCUCAUUUCAGCAAGCUGAGAUACCAUUUGCAUGUGUCCAAUCCCUUUGUUUUUACGCUAACUUCUUUUUGAAGAGCAGUGUAUGAAAUGUGUUUUCUGGAGAGAGAUGUUCUCUGACCAGAUGGUCUGCUGUUCUGCGUAGCUCCUGUUUUCCCUAGGCUGUAGCAGAGAGUUCUCCAUUUUAUAAGCUGGCCACUUAACUCUGCUGGGAGAGGUCAAUAGCUUUCUCCUCCCUGUCUUCCCAACUUCUUUUUUUUUUUUUUUCCUUUGAACACUUUCCAAUCUUUUUGUCUUCUUACCUAUCUCUGAUAAUUCUGUUUCUGUCAGGGUCCCCUCUGUACCACACAUCAUCUUUGACUUGUUUGCUGCUUGGCUUCAGUCUCUAGAUUCUAUCAAUUUAGAUGGGAACCUGAUCAUAAAUGAGGGUAUUUUGUGUCCCAUGCAAGGCCAAGCACAGUGCAUGCUGAUAAUACGCGUAACUGUGAGAACCUUGUGCCUCAUUUUCACAGCCAUCACAACUCCCAGAAAGCGGGAAAUCAGCUGUGCACAGUGAAAGGACAAUGCAGAGUUUGCUCUGGCAAGACAAAGUGUUCAGACCACGUAGCAGAUAGGCCCAAGGUCUGUGCGUGGCAUGGUAUCACCUGUCCUCCAGGGAAGGACACUAAGCACAACAUUGAGAGAGAUUUGAAGCUGAUUUUGCAGGCUGGACUGACAAAACAGAGCACUGCUAGCAACAGAGAGGAAAGGAAGACGUGAGAAAAGGAGAAGAGGAAGAGAAGAGAAAGCCUUUUCCUCUGCUCAUAUUCGCACUGUGGAAGCUGCAGUAUGUGGUGCCUCCUUAAGCCCGUAAAUGUACUCUGAACUGGUCAUCACUGGAGCGCACCUGGUAGUGCUGCAGAGAGUGGAGGGGAACCAUGAUGAUAACAGUGGAAUGACCUUAUUCCUUUCCCCUAUCUCUCUCUUUAAAGACUCAAUAACAAUCUAUGGGCCAUGCUAAACAGCUGAGAAGGGUCCAGUCAGCUGGGUGCACCUCUGUCUCUGCUCAUCUGUGCAUGAUCUAUGUUGUAAACAAUUUCCUGCACUCACAGAAUUGUGUCUCCUUGGCAUACCUAGGCAUUCAGUCCAACUAGGAGCUGCCCCUUGCCAGAAAGAACUACAGCAUUCCCAUGCAGCAGGGAUACAUGUCACAGGACCUGUCACUGCACCUCAGUGCUACAAGAAGCCGCACCAAAUCCAAACCCUAAAUGGGGAAACUACUUGAAAGAUGGAAGAAAACUUUUACAUCAGGAAUGACUCAGGGCUUUGGUGCAGUGAUCCAGGUCCAGUUAUGGCUGCCCUCCCCCCGAGUAGAGGAGAGAUGUCAAUAAACUGAAGCAGGUCCAGUGGAAGUGAUGAAGCUGGUUGGGUCUGAAGCACAGGUCAUACAACAAGAGGGUGAUGGCAAAGGAGGAUCUACUGCAGUCAUCCAGCACCUAAAGGGAGGUAUAAAGAAGAUGGAGUUCAGAGGUACUCUGUGAAAGGAUGAGAGACAACAGAUGUGAGUCGCAAAUUGGGAAAUUACAGUUGGAUGUAAGGAAAAAAUUCUGCUUCCUGAGAGGUGCAGCCCUGAGACAGAGACCAGAAAGCAGAGUGCUGAGCAGCACCUCUGCUCAGGUCUCCAUCCUUCCAGGCUGCCUGCAGGCUCACUCUUGCACCUGGAUGAUAUGCGAAGAUUGUCCCAUUCUUAGAGCUCAAGAAGUGUCAAACAGCACUUGGGAGAGGAAGAAGAUAAGGAAAGUGAAGAGCAACCGUUUUCCAGCAUGCACUCCUCGCUCCAGCAACCAGACACUCCCUUAGCCUGGCGGAUAGGGAUGGUGCAGCAGCCUGGACACACAUGGCAGACAGCCACCUGGCCCACACAGGAGCUGAAAUCAGGUGGCAGCUGCUUGCUCUGCAGAGGUGGCUCAGGCAGCACACCUCCAUGCAGUUAUGGAAGGCACCUCUCUCUGCACCAGGCUUGGUCCAGUCCAGGGAAUGGUUGUGGCCUUGCCAAGAAGAAGGGAUUUGAGACCCAGCAAGUCUGUCACCUGCUGAGUAGGUCUGCAGCUUCCCAAGUGGGGAACUUGGGAUCUCCAUGGGAUCUGCCUCUGCCUGAUGCCAGCACUACUCAUCUAGGAUACGAAACAACCUGGGCUGGACCCAGAGACACACUGCAGAAAGCAAAGGGACAAGAUGGGAGCCUGAAGAAAUAUGCAACUCCCUAAGGCCAUUUUUCUCUAGUUACUCUCAUCCCUGGCUGGAGGAAGGCGCGCUCUGAGUGGCAUAGUAAUAUUUACACCUUGUACCAGGGCUAGCAGGAGUAGGACUGGGUGCAGGGCCAGGGGCCAAACCAGUGUCCUGCAGGAAUGCUGAGAUAGCAUAGGUUCAAGAAGGGCUGAGGACACUGCAAGCAGUUCCUGAGUGUGAGUAAAGAGAACCCUGUAAGGUAACGCAGCCAUGCUCCCCUGGAAAACCAUUAUUGCGUGGAAGGGGGCAAUGGGACUGGGCUGCAGCUGGCCUGAUGCCCUUUAAAAUUAAGCUUUAAUUAAGAAACAGCAGGAAGAGGCUAAAAAAAGCCCCACAAAACAUGCAAGUGUGCACCCCCAAAGAUGUGAUCUGUUCCCCUAAAUGCAGGAGGAGGAUACCUCGUGAGACGAGUGCUAGGCAACUGUCCACACCUUGCUCUGCAACGUGGAAAUGCAGCAGCUCUCUGUAUGUGCCUCCCUCUCCUGUUAGCAGGAGCAAGUCACCUCCCUUCAGGGCAGGGACAGGCUUGGGACUGGCACUUUUGGAAGCAGCCCAGCUUGGGCUGAAGGCUUGGCCAGGCUUGUAAGGAAGGUGGGGGAAGGUAAAUCAGACACCCACCUUAGGGACAGAAAUGUCCUCACACUAAACCCCCCUCCCUUGGGACCCCAACAGAGCAGUCCUGCACUGGCAUGAGUUUGACAGGUCUUCCUUACACCCAGCACUUCCACGGUCGCUGGCCCCAUCAGGCAGCAGGGAAGGGUUAAGAGCUGCAGCCUGGAGGGACUUUGCACCCAAAUUUGGGGUUUUGCAAGAAGUUGUCACAAAAGGCUGAGCGGAGACAGAAAUAUUUCCAUGAUGUAUCCCAUUCGUUUGUAAUUCCAAAUGAAACGGUUUCCUUUUAAACAAACAAACUGUUCCCUGCAGCACUAGCAGUCGGACACACACCACAGAGCUAGGCCGGUGCUGGUGAGCAGUGUGAACUGGACAGGUCACAGCACCCAUCGAGAGCUUUACGUUGGGGCAUAGUUGAGCUGAAGGAGCUUGGGUGCACUAGAGUACCUGUCCCAGGGCUGCAAGCAGGGAGCAGAGGGGAUGCCUGGCCCCGCCUUCCUUGGCACAGGCAGGACACUUGCACCCCUCGCCCCUGGUCCCCAGGCGGUUGUCCCCUGCACCAGAGCUGCCAAGCAGCUCAGCCCUCCAUGAGCACACCAGGAAGCAGGAGGGAUGCUGUCUAGGGAGCAUCUGACAGACCCAAGCUGUGCUCCCACAGACAUUUGCUCUGGCGCUGGGGCCAGGGCCCUUGCCACAACCACCUUCCUGCCUGCAGCCAGGCAUCCCCUGGCUCAGAUCCUCCCUGCUCCUGCUCACUCUCUACUCUCUGGGUUGGACCUCCCCACCUGGC